rnacentral:lncRNA from 1 species
CUGCAGUGGUUUUGCACUUCACACAUACAUCCUUUUGGCCCCGUCUCGUCGAUGCCUCUGAUUGCUUCUGAUUGCUGCAAGAAUUACCAGUACCAUUGCUGAUACAAGCUGGCUGCCUGGAUUCCUGGCAGCCGCUCUGAGAGCAGCCACUACCACAUCCUGGGUUAUUGUGUGUUGCGCAAGUGCUUUCCGUGUCUUCGCCCGCACCACAUCCUCCAGUAGCCAUCCUCAACUCUCUAUAUGCUCUGCGCGGAUCGAUCGGAUUCUAUCAAUG